rnacentral:rRNA from 1 species
UACGGGGGGAGCAAGCGUUGUUCGGAUUUACUGGGCGUAAAGGGCGCGUAGGCGGCCACCGCAAGUCGAUUGUGAAAUCUCCGGGCUUAACUCGGAAAGGUCAACCGAUACUGCGGGGCUAGAGUGCAGAAGGGGCAACUGGAAUUCUCGGUGUAGCGGUGAAAUGCGUAGAUAUCGAGAGGAACACCUGCGGCGAAGGCGGGUUGCUGGGCUAACACUGACGCUGAUGUGCGAAAGCUAGGGGAGCGAACGGG